UCGAUGCAGAUGAGGAGACACAAGUUUAUGGGCAAUUUGCGUCUGUGGCAUUUCUGUGAUGCCACACUCAUUUUCAUCUUGGAGAUCUGAUGCACCCA
rnacentral:snoRNA from 1 species